rnacentral:rRNA from 1 species
GCGGAAAGGUGAAAGCGUGAGGUGCAAGCUUCGCGUCUAAGCCCCCGUGAAUGUCGGCCGUAACUAUAACGGUCCUAAGGUAGCGAAAUUCCUUGUCGGGUAAGUUCCGACCCGCACGAAUCGUGUAACGAGUUGACGACUGUCUCGGAGAGAGGCUCAGUGAAAAUUGUAGUGGCGGUGAAGAUGCCGCCUACCCGCAGCAGGACGGAAAGACCCUAUGCACCUUUACUGUAAGCUGUUAUUGUCGCUUGAUUUUCAAUGCGUAGAAUAGGUGGGAGACUUUUGAAGCCUCGCUCCAGGGCGAGGCCGAGUCGAAAUAUGAAAUACCACUCUUUGUUGAUUAGGCGUCUAACCUCGAGCCAUUAUCUGGCCGUGGGACAGUGAUAGCAGGUCAGUUUUUCUGGGGCGGAAUCCUCCAAAAGAGUAACGGAGGAUUACGAAGGUUCCCUCAGCCCGGUCGGUAAUCGGGCUAUAGAGCGCAUGAGUAUAAGGGAG